rfam:Sporosarcina sp. P33, complete genome.
UCUAGUAACGAUGGCGAAGAGGUCACACCCGUUCCCAUACCGAACACGGAAGUUAAGCUCUUCAGCGCCGAUGGUAGUUGGGGGUUUCCCCCUGUGAGAGUAGGACGUUGCUAGGC